UCAUAUAAGACGAGAAGACCCCAUGGAGCUUCAAACCCAACUACACCCCUAGCUCUUAUAGCCCCACAACCCCCCUAGGCGCCGUGUGCUUGGUUUUAGGUUGGGGCGACCGCGGAGUACAAUAAAACCUCCACAAUGAAUGGGAACACCCCCUUAUCUGAGGGCCACACCCCCUAAGAAUUAGAACACUAACAUAAAAUGAUCCAUUACUUGAUCAAUGAACCAAGUUACCCUGGGGAUAACAGCGCAAUCCAUUUCAAGAGCCCCUAUCGACAAAU
rnacentral:rRNA from 1 species